rnacentral:rRNA from 1 species
GAUGAACGCUGGCGGUAUGCCUAACACAUGCAAGUCGUACGAGAGUUUUUAACUCUAGUGGCGGACGGGUGAGUAACACGUGAGAAUUUGCCUUUAGGAGGGGGAUAACAAUUGGAAACGAAUGCUAAUACCCCAUAUGCUUUUGAGUGAAAUGGAUUUUAUCCGCCUAGAGAGAAGCUCGCGGCUGAUUAGCUUGUUGGUAAGGUAAGAGCUUACCAAGGCGACGAUCAGUAUCUGGUUUGAGAGGACGAUCAGACACACUGGAACUGAGACACGGUCCAGACUCCUACGGGAGGCAGCAGUGGGGAAUUUUCCGCAAUGGGCGAAAGCCUGACGGAGCAAUACCGCGUGAGGGAAGAAUGCCUAUGGGUUGUAAAGCUCUUUUACCCGAGAUGAUAAUGACAGUAUCGGGAGAAUAAGCUCCGGCUAACUCCGUG